GUGCCAGCAGCCGCGGUAAUACGUAGGUGGCAAGCGUUGUCCGGAUUUAUUGGGCGUAAAGCGAGCGCAGGCGGUUUUUUAAGUCUGAUGUGAAAGCCUUCGGCCCAACCGAAGAAGUGCAUCGGAAACUGGGAAACUUGAGUGCAGAAGAGGACAGUGGAACUCCAUGUGUAGCGGUGAAAUGCGUAGAUAUAUGGAAGAACACCAGUGGCGAAGGCGGCUGUCUGGUCUGUAACUGACGCUGAGGCUCGAAAGUAUGGGUAGCAAACAGGAUUAGAUACCCUGGUAGUCCAUACCGUAAACGAUGAAUGCUAAGUGUUGGAGGGUUUCCGCCCUUCAGUGCUGCAGCUAACGCAUUAAGCAUUCCGCCUGGGGAGUACGGCCGCAAGGCUGAAACUCAAAGGAAUUGACGGGGGCCCGCACAAGCGGUGGAGCAUGUGGUUUAAUUCGAAGCUACGCGAAGAACCUUACCAGGUCUUGACAUACUAUGCAAAUCUAAGAGAUUAGACGUUCCCUUCGGGGACAUGGAUACAGGUGGUGCAUGGUUGUCGUCAGCUCGUGUCGUGAGAUGUUGGGUUAAGUCCCGCAACGAGCGCAACCCUUAUUAUCAGUUGCCAGCAUUAAGUUGGGCACUCUGGUGAGACUGCCGGUGACAAACCGGAGGAAGGUGGGGAUGACGUCAAAUCAUCAUGCCCCUUAUGACCUGGGCUACACACGUGCUACAAUGGAUGGUACAACGAGUUGCGAACUCGCGAGAGUAAGCUAAUCUCUUAAAGCCAUUCUCAGUUCGGAUUGUAGGCUGCAACUCGCCUACAUGAAGUCGGAAUCGCUAGUAAUCGCGGAUCAGCAUGCCGCGGUGAAUACGUUCCCGGGCCUUGUACACACCGCCCGU
rnacentral:rRNA from 1 species